CAGUUUAGGUUCACGAGUCGUCUGAAUAAUCGUGUAGCUCAUGAAUUAGCGAAAUUCUGUAUUAGUGUGUCUAAUGGUGGUGUGUUGAGUGCUGCAAUUCCCUCCUGUGUGGGGCGAUUGCUUAUGGAUGAUUGUAUCUCUCCUGCCGUUUGAUUAAUAUAGCACCACCUUUCAAAAAAAAAACAAUACUUAGAACCAUCGGUUCUAACUUUUCUUAGCGCUGAAUCGGUUCUAACUUUUCUUAGCGUUACUUGUUGACCGACGCUGCGUUUGCUCUUAGUUUCUUAAUCGGUUUGCACAUGCAUGUGCAGUGCGUGUCCGUGUAGGUUCCUUGGUUUUGGCAAUUCUGGGCGGUAGGAUUCGUAUUGAUUGCAUGUUGGAAUCUGACUAGGACUAGGAUAGUUGAUUAAGUAGUCUUGGCGUGUGUCUAUGUGUGUAUACGCAUACUGCCCAAGGUUGUAAGAUUGUACCGUGAGAUUUAGAAGAGAAAAAAUAAAGAGAAAAGACACGGCAGGUGUCUUUGGCCAUAAUUUGC
rnacentral:lncRNA from 1 species